AGAAUUUUCAGUGGGAAAACAAAAUUUACUUUUCAAUGGUGGUGUGGUGAAAUGGCGAACAAAAGGAGUGAAAAAAGUGAAUAAUUGCUAUUAAUGGUGAUUGAUAAAUGUAUUUAUUAAAAUAAGCACAAAACUUUAAAAUAAUUUACAAUGAAAUACUCUUCGCAUGCUGUGAAAUAUCUACACUUGUGGUUGAUGGAUCUCACCAAAUGAUAUUCAUCCGACAAAAUGAUAAUGAGCAGGUGAUGAUACAGUUUAACCAGAAAAAUAGCAGACUGAUCCCUCUUCGAGCUUGAACAUUAUAAAAAGUAAGCCCUUUUGGAUAUGUAAUUCAAGUGUGCCGGGGUACUCUACUGCUACCAUUAUUGUCUAAAGGCUGAAACAGGAUCAGAUGAAUGAAAUAAAAAAGUAAUCUGGAGCAGAUUAGGUGUAAAGCAAAUUUAUUAAGUUAGGAUAAGGGAAAACGCUACCUUUAGACAACUCAAGCUUCGAACAACUCAUUUUUCACAAUAUGUUUUUUUUUUUAAAUUAAUUUCACCCAUUUCUAAUAUUAUAUAGCUGUCUAAUGCCUGAAAUUUGCAGAAAAGAGCCAUGGGUCAAACUAAGGAGUUACGUGGGUUAAAAAAGAACUCAAAACCCUAUAUUUUCUUUAUUUUUUUUUAAGUAAUAAAUUUUGAUUUUUAUUCAAGCACUUAAGCAUGGUACAACGUUUUAUCUAUUUUUUCUAAAACUGUCAUUUUCAAAUUUUAAAAUUUCAGUCACAGACAGUUUUCACAGACAUAGACAAUUUUCGAAAAAGACAUUACUUUUUGAAAAAAUAUGUCGAGGAAAUAUGCUCUUUUUUAGUCUUUCUAACCCACGUAAACUUCUUAAGAAUAUAGAAAAAAAUAUUCCGUUGUCCGAACCUUGAAUCUUCCGAAGGUAGAGUGCUUUCCUUUACUAAUGUUAAGAUAUCCCAUAGCAAAAUGUCAUUGGAAUUGCUUUCUGAAGAAAAACUAUUAUAUACUGUUUUCCUAAACUUAAUAUAUAGCUCAUGAAAUUGUGAAAAAUCAUAUGACAAUUUUCUGAACUUUCAGAAGGAUAAAAAGUUGAGGUAGAGGUACGUGAGGCUAGCCCAACCCUCUUCUUCUCGUAAAUUAUGAUUAGUGAAUAUUUUUAACUUUCAAAUAAACACUCUCAGUUUAAGAAUUAAGUACAACAUUUUCUUCUGAGUACCUACAUAAGGAUAGAUCGAUAAAUCUCACUUGAAGUUUA